rnacentral:rRNA from 1 species
UGGGGAAUAUUGGACAAUGGGCGGAAGCCUGAUCCAGCAACGCCGCGUGAGGGAUGACGGCCUUCGGGUUGUAAACCUCUUUUCAGUACCGACGAAGCGAAAGUGACGGUAGGUACAGAAGAAGGACCGGCCAACUACGUGCCAGCAGCCGCGGUAAUACGUAGGGUCCGAGCGUUGUCCGGAAUUAUUGGGCGUAAAGGGCUCGUAGGCGGUUUGUCGCGUCGGGAGUGAAAACAGCGGGCUUAACUCGUUGCUUGCUUUCGAUACGGGGCAGACUAGAGGUAUGCAGGGGAGAAUGGAAUUCCUGGUGUAGCGGUGAAAUGCGCAGAUAUCAGGAGGAACACCGGUGGCGAAGGCGGUUCUCUGGGCAUUACCUGACGCUGAGGAGCGAAAGUGUGGGGAGCGAACAGGAUUAGAUACCCUGGUAGUCCACACCGUAAACGUU